UACAUAGCAAAACACGAGCAUUUUACCAUAUAUAUAACGAGGCUAGGGUUUCCGUACAAUGGACAAUAGAAGCAGGCAUUUCACGAGAAAAGAAGUCUGCACGGACUUGAUAAUCAGAAACCCACAUGAACACACGUCAUUCCAACAUUUCCAAGGAGGAAAAUCCCAUAACAGAUGACCAGAAAUUGUGAAAUAACCCACAAACCAAGGGGU
rnacentral:lncRNA from 1 species